AUGGAGCAUCAUUUUCAUUCAUUCUCAAGCACUCAGAGGCCCCUAGAACCUCUGCACAAAUUACAUUUUCCAAAGUUAAAAUUUUCAACACUUGAAAAUUUUAGCAACAAAACCUUGUCUGAGCUCACUUUGUUGAUCAAUUUCUCUCAAACCUUUGUGAAUCAAUACACCAUCUGCUCCAGAUCCGUAGAUGACAACCUCCUCUUUCCAAAUCAUCCUUAA